UAACUCUCCUUGAUUAGGAAAUAUACCUCUUGCACUAAAGCUGGAUUGGUUUCGUAUAGCUGCAGCAGAUCCUUUAUAUACACUCCUUUUUAUUAACAAACACACGUUACUCUUUCCAGUAAUAACUAGAUCAUACAUUAGUUACCAAAUUUUAAUGCUAACAAUUUCUUAUGUACAUUUGGGAUAUUAAUUACUUGUCUAUUUAUUUAUGGUCAUAUAUUUUGGUCCUUUAGAAAAAAUAAAAAACAAAAGAAAUUAAAGACAGUGACUAUAAUGUUGUUCAAUUAAGCCUUAGAAAUUAACCGACUAUAUCCCCCUAAAACCAGCAAAAACCAAGGACUAAAUUCAUGUUACAUCCGACCACUCACCAUUUGAUCAUUUUUUUUUCUGAAUUAAGAGUUGUGGCUUAAUUUCAUUGAAAUGUUUAGAAACUCACUAGUAAUUUUUAAUUUUGCCAAAUUUUUUUCACCAUUAAGCCGUUCACUUGUAUAAUAGAAUAGCUUUUAUUUUAAUAUUAUUUAAUCCUUCAUUUAAUUUAUAGGAGAGAUCUUGAUCUAUUAAUUUUUCUCACUGUCAAAUUAAUCUCUCUUUCUUUCCCUGUUAACUAGUAAUAUUCUAUUAGCAUUUUCUUUUAAAAAAAAUUAGAUGACUAAUAUAUUCUCUUUUUCUCUGUUAACUAACCCUUUACUUUCUCUUUAUCUAUUUUCUUUUUUAUAUUUUUGUUCAUUAUAUGUGCUCCUUAAUUUUUUGUUUUGUAUAUAGUGAGCAGUGGUUGCGUUAUAUGUUUGCUAUGGACUAUGUGCCAUGCAUUCUUUGGAUUUUAUUAUAGCUAUAUUUGUGUUUUAACUUUUUUUUUUCUAUUGAGGCUUGUGAUUUCUGGUGCUUAUUUUUAAUAUUUUUUUAGGUAUGUUAAGCUUGUCAUAUAUUCAAUGGACAAGGAUUGGAUGCAAAUUAAGAAUAGAGCCCUUUUACAAUAUAGGAGAGGUGUCAACGAGUUCUUAGAUUUUGCCUUUAGUCAUACAAACGAUGAUAAGAUAUAUUGUCCGUGUUUUAAAUGCAAUAAUUGCCUUAGAAAAUCUCGUGAGCAAGUAGAAUUUGAUCUUCUAAGUCAUGGCAUAGUGAGAAAUUAUACAAUUUGGUACCACCAUGGAGAAUCGCUACAAGAUGAGUCACCCCAUUCAAGUUCAUUUGAUAGUCACGAUGAUUAUAUGGAUAAAGAUGACAUGGAAAACAUGUUAAGGGAUCAUUUUGGAGUUUGGGAUAUAGAAGAGGAUAUUGAAGAACCUAAUGAAGAGCAUAUAAAAGAGGAUAUAGGAGAACCUUAUGAAGAGCAUGUAGAAGAACCUAAUGAAGAUGCAGCAAAGUUUUACAAACUUUUGGAUGAUUCUGAGAAAGAACUAUAUCCAGGAUGUACGUACUUUUCAAAGCUCUCGUUUUUGAUGAGAUUAUUCCAUAUUAAAUGUCUUGGUGGAUGGAGUAAUAAAUCAUUUUCUAUGUUACUUGAGUUAUUGAAUGAUUCUUUUCCAAAAGGGGUACAACUACCGGCGUCUUACUAUGAAGCUAGGAAGAUUAUUCGAGAUCUUGGCUUGGAUUAUGAGAAAAUAGAUGCUUGUAUUAAUGAUUGUAUGCUAUUCUGGAAAGAUCAUGAUAAGAAAGAAACUUGUGAUCAUUGUGGUGCUUCAAGGUGGAAGUUUGAGGAGAAAGAUGGAAAGAGAAAAAAAAUUCCUAUAAAAGUUCUCCGUUACUUUCGAAUAACUCCAAGGCUUAAAAGAUUAUAUAUGUCAACAAAGACAGCAUUUGAUAUGAGAUGGCAUGAUGCAAAGCGAAUUGAUGAUGGGUAUUUACGUCAUCCAGCUGACUCAGAAGCAUGGAAAUCAUUUGAUGAGUUACAUAAGUCCUUUUCUGAUGAACCUAGAAAUGUAAGGCUUGGAUUAGCAAGUGAUGGGUUUAACCCCUUUGGAAAUAUGAGUACAAAAUACAGUGUUUGGCCUGUGGUACUUAUACCAUAUAACUUGCCACCUUGGAAAUGCAUGAAGGAUCCUUAUCUAAUGUUAUCAUUGCUUAUACCGGGUUCAAAAUCUCCAGGAAAGGCAAUAGAUACAUAUCUAAGGCCUUUAAUUGAAGAAUUAAAAGAAUUAUGGAAUGUAGGAGUUGAUACCUUUGAUGCAUAUGAAAAAAAAAAUUUUAAAAUGCGUGCAGCUAUAUUAUGGACAGUAAAUGACUUUCCAGCAUAUGGAGAUUUAUCUGGAUGGAAUACGAGAGGGGCACUUCGUUGUCCCACUUGUAAUGUUGAGACUCAAUCUAAGUUUCUUACUAAUGGAAAGAAAUUUUGCUUCCUAGGUCAUCGGCGCUUCUUGCCUAUUAGACAUAGAUGGCGACGUGAAAAAGAAUUGUUUGAUGGCACAAAAGAACUUAGGCGUCUUCCCAAGCAACUCUCUGGUGAUGAUAUUCUUCAACAAGUUUUUAACUUAGAAGGCUUAGUAGUUAGUAAUCAUAAAGAUAUUAAAAAAAGGAAGAGAAGUGCAGCAGGAAAAGAAAUGGGAAGUUCCAAUCCAUGGUUGAAAAAAAGCAUCUUCUUUGAAUUGCCAUAUUGGAGGACUUUAUUGUUGCGUCAUAAUUUAGAUGUCAUGCACAUAGAGAAGAAUAUAUGUGACAAUGUUCUUGGGACAUUGAUGGAUAUUCCAGGAAAAACAAAAGACAAUUUAAAUUCUCGUUUGGAUAUGGAAGAGUUAGGCAUAAAGAAAGAUUUACAUCCUAUUAGAGAGGGAGAAAAGGUGUUGUCAGUACCUGAUGCUAUUUAUAAAUUGAAUAAUAAAGAAAGGAGGAGUUUGUGUGAAUUUUUGCAAAAUGUCAAAGUACCAGAUGGAUAUUCUUCAAAUCUUAGGAGAUGUAUUAACCUAAAAGAGAAAAAGAUUUAUGGCUUAAAGACUCAUGAUUGUCAUGUUCUUCUAGAGUGCUUCCUUCCGCUUGUUUUACGAGGUCUUUUCUCAUCACAUGAUGUGCGUAGUGCAUUAAUAGGACUUUGCAGUUUUUUCAAGGAGUUGUGCUCAAAAGUUCUAACAGUGAAAAAUCUUGAGAAGAUUGAAGAACAAAUCAUUAUCACACUUUGCAAGUUGGAAAUGAUAUUUCCGCCUUCAUUUUUUGAUGUCAUGAUCCAUUUACCUAUCCAUUUGGCAAGUGAGGCUAAGAUUGCAGGACCGGUCCAUUAUCGAUGGAUGUACCCUAUUGAGAGGUAUUUACGUGGCUUAAAAGCUUAUGUACGUAAUCGAGCUCAUCCAGAAGGUUCAAUUGCUGAAGGAUAUCUUGCAAAUGAAUGCUUAUUAUUUUGCUCAAGAUACUUUAAUGGUAUUGAAACAAAGUAUAAUCGAGUUGGAAGAAAUUGGGAUGGUGCAAUAACUCAUGGUUAUAAAGUUGAAACAAAGGAUAAAGUAUUACCGAUUUUCAAGCAAAAUGGAAGACCCUCAAGAAAUUGUAAAGUGACAAGAAGAUUGAGUCUAGAAGAAAUAAAGCAAGCUCAUCUUUAUAUUUUGAAGAACUGUGAUCAAGUUACUCCUUUCAUAUACAAACAUAAAGAAAUAUUAGAAGAAGAGAACCCAAGAAAUGUUCAAAAACGACAUGAUCAAGAAUUUUCAGAUUGGUUUGAAAGUCAUGUUACAUGUUUGUACAAAGAAAAAGAUAAACAAGUAACCCAUCAACUUUUAUGUUUAGCAAGAGGUCCAGCAAGAGAAGCCACAUGCUAUAAAGGAUACAAAGCAAACGGUUUUAUCUUCCACACAAAAGAUUGUGAGAAUCAUAGAAAAACUCAAAGUAGUGGAGUUAUGGUAAAGCUAAAUUGUGGAAAGGAGUAUUAUGGAGUCAUUGAGGAUAUUGUGGAGUUAUCAUAUAUGAAUGAUAACAAAGUUGUAAUGUUCAAAUGCUUAUGGUGGGAUGUGGACAAUUAUGGUAGAGGAGUGAAAGUAGAUGAAUAUGGUGUCACCCUGGUAAAUAAAGGUCGCACUUUGAAGACAAGAGAAGUAUUUGUUAUGGCAUGUCAAUCUGAGCAAGUAUUCUAUGUUGAAGAUAUUUGUAACUCCAAUUGGCAAUGUGUUGUAAAAGUCACACCACGUGACUAUUUUAGUAUGCCUUUAGAAGAGGAGGAGGAGGAGGAAGUGGCUGAUGAUAUGUUUGAUGAAUAAAUAGAGUAAUAGAAAGAUUUUUUUUUUCUUGAAACCUUUUCUAAUAGAAAUUAAUUGCAAUUAUGUUUUUAGGAUUUUAAUGUCUUUAUUUAAUAUUUUUUAAUGAAAUCCUUUUGAUGUGCUGUUGUUGGUUUUAAUAAUGAAUAUGAUUUGUUGAUUUAGCCAAAGAUCUCAAAGAUUGCUAAUAGUGUUGCUGCUAGAAGAAAGAAAGGGAUUCAGAGUCUUGUAUCUAAAAGAAAUUUAGCUCCAUCAAGUCACUUACAACAAGCUGAUUUUCUUUCUAAUAAUGAUGGAGAGCAUGGAAAAAAAGCAAGUUCAUCAAGUCACCCACAAGUUAGAAGGACAUUUGACUCUCUUUCUAAUGAUGAUGGAGUGCAUGGAAAAAAAGUAAGUUCAUCAAGCCACUCACAAGUUAGAAGGACAUUUGACUCCCUUUCUAAUAAUGAUGGAGUGCAUGGAAAAAAAGCAAGUUCAUCAAGCCACUCACAAGUUAGAAGGACAUUUGACUCCCUUUCUAAUAAUGAUGGAGUGCAUGGAAAAAAAGCAAGUUCAUCAAGCCACUCACAAGUUAGAAGGACAUUUGACUCCCUUUCUAAUAAUGAUGGAGUGCAUGGAAAAAAAGUAAGUUCAUCAAGUCACUCACAACUUAGAAGGCAAUUUGACUCCCUUUCUAAUGAUGAUGAAGUGGAUGAAGAAGAAUUCGAAUCCGAUUUUGUUGCACCGAAAAAAAAAGUGAGAGGACCUACGCGCAAUCUUGAGUUAGCAAAGUUACCAGCUGGAAAAAGACUUGACAUAAACUGGAGAAUGAAUAGGCCAGUUGGUCCAAAUGCAAAGCUGUUCAAAUCAAGAUGCACUGUUCUAGUUCGUGAUGUGAAGAAUGCACCACUAAAGGUUAAAGAAUGGGCUGAUAUCAAAAUAGAGAACAAAAUAAAGAUGUUUGACCUAGUUUUGACAUACUUUAAAGUUGAAGGUCGAAAGCAUUUAGUAUGGGCUCAAAUGAAUUCUUCUUAUCGGAGUUAUCGACAUCUAUUAAAGAAAAGGUAUUUUGAACCUUAUGAUAACCCUGAAAUUGCUCGAGCCAAUAUACCAUUGGAAAUGGAAAAAGAGGAUUGGGAUUACCUUGUGAAUCUUUGGAUUGAUGAAGGCUGGCAGAAAAUAAGUCAACAAAAUAAGAUGAGUCGAGCUGCAAAUAGCAUUAUUCAUACCACUGGU